rnacentral:rRNA from 1 species
GAUGAACGCUAGCGGCAGGCCUAAUACAUGCAAGUCGAGGGGUAGAUGGAGCUUGCUCCAUUGAGACCGGCGCACGGGUGCGUAACGCGUAUGCAACCUACCCUUUUCUGGGGGAUAGCCCGGAGAAAUCCGGAUUAAUACCGCAUGAAACCACAGUCCUUCAUGGGACAAUGGUCAAACAUUUAUGGGAAAAGGCUGGGCAUGCGUGCCAUUAGCUAGUUGGCGGGGUAACGGCCCACCAAGGCGACGAUGGCUAGGGGAUCUGAGAGGAUGGCCCCCCACACUGGUACUGAGACACGGACCAGACUCCUACGGGAGGCAGCAGUAAGGAAUAUUGGUCAAUGGGGGCAACCCUGAACCAGCCAUGCCGCGUGCAGGACGACGGCCCUCCGGGUUGUAAACUGCUUUUGUACCGGAAUAAACCUUUGUAUGUAUACGAAGCUGAAUGUACGGUAAGAAUAAGGAUCGGCUAACUCCGUGCCAGCCGCCGCCGUAA